GCGGAAGUGGUGGAAUUGGCAGACACGCUAUCUUGAGGGGGUAGUGGGGUGACCCGUGGGGGUUCAAGUCCCCCCUUCCGCA
rnacentral:tRNA from 2 species